GUUUGCACUACAUCCCAGAAUUUGUGCUUGUCUGUGAUAUUCAAGCAGUACGAUGGUGCUGUUUACCUUCUAGACAUUGCAGAACGCAAGACAGGGUUAUACCAUUUCUCCAGUUUUUCCACCGAGGUAAAAGUUUGUAACCGCCUGAGCCUACGCUGCAAUAAAUGAUGUGACAAUGACAGUAAGAUGAGAUUAAGAAUCAUUAGGGCACUUGUGUUCACUACCAGAAGUAUGAGGCUUGGUUGUUCGGCCAUCGUUAUUUGGCUUUUCUACUGUGAACAGAAACAUGGAACUUUUUUCAAGAGAAGUAUUUCAGUGAUGGCAUUUUGGCUCUUUGGUAGUCAGGGACUCCAGUGCUUGCUAUCUUCAUGUUCUUUCUAGAGUCACCUCCAAGUUUAAGGCCAUCCACCUCAUGUUUCCAAGACAGCUGCUGGAGUGCCAGCCUUUAGACACAAGGCCAGACGAGCAUAAGUAGGAAGUUAAAGGGGCAAAUCUCCAACUGAGUCAACUUUCUGAAAAGAUAGGUAAUGUCCCAUGCUACCCUUUCACUAAUAUUAACCAGAACUUACUUAAAUGGUCACAUCUCAUGCUGCCUUGCAGGCUGGUAAAUGUAGGCUUUCAGCUGGCUACUUGGAAUAAAACUGGAAUUCUGAGAAGAACGGGGAGAAUGCCUUAGGUAAACAACUAGAAGUCUAGACUCCACCACCUGUGGAAAACUGCCAAUGUAUUAAGAGUCGAAAAUACUCAUCAUUUCACUGUGUGAAUGACAGGGUUAUAUUCACUCGAGUAUACUAUCUAUAUACAAUACUGGGAACUCCUGGGUGUUUGAAAAGUGGGGGUAUUUUUUUUCCUUCUCACUGCCCCAGAUGUGGUUAUGUGCUCCUUCUCUUCAGCAGAGUUUUCUUAUCAAUUGAUAAUUUUGUCCUAAAGGGACAAGAAUCCUACAGCUGUAUGGAUUGUACGUAUUGUUUUGCUUCAACCUUAAUUAUAAUGUUUUCCCAUGCUGUCUGUCUGUCCAGGUGUUGUUCUUCAACCUGCUAGAUUCUUCUUAGGAGAAUGCAGUGCAAGUGCUCGACUUCAGCUUUAAUUGCCACGGCAUCCAUCUCAAAGAAGGCUCUCCUUCAAAGAUGGCGACCUCCAAGAAACACAUGGUCAGCCCCAGGACAAGACAGAGCCAGGCUACCUCACCCCACUGAGCCUCCUUGGUUUCAGAGAACUCGAUUUCAAUAACUGACCAUUUGGGCCACGUGCCUUUUCUUUUCUCACCUUUUUUUGAAAUUCACCAAUAGUGAGCGAGCCCCUGAACCCUAGGCCCCUACCCUCCACCCUAGUAAAAGCAGAACCUCUGGCCUGUG